rnacentral:rRNA from 1 species
GCUUUUUGGGUCUUGUAUUGGAAUGAGUACAUUUAAUCCCUUAACGAGNAACAUUGAAGGCAAGUCUGGUGCCAGCACCCGCGGUAAUUCCAGCUCCAAUAGCGUAUAUUAAAGUUGUUGUGGUUAAAAAGCUCGUAGUUGAACCUUGGGCCUGGCUGGCCGGUCCGCCUCACCGCGUGUACUGGUCCGGCCGGGCCUUCCCUUCUGUGGAACCCCAUGCCCUUCACUGGGUGUGGCGGGGAAACAGGACUUUUACUGUGAAAAAAUUAGAGUGCUCCAGGCAGGCCUAUGCUCGAAUACAUUAGCAUGGAAUAAUAGAAUAGGACGUGUGGUUCUAUUUUGUUGGUUUCUAGGACCGCCGUAAUGAUUAAUAGGGACAGUCGGGGGCAUCAGUAUUCAAUUGUCAGAGGUGAAAUUCUUGGAUUUAUUGAAGACUAACUACUGCGAAAGCAUUUGCCAAGGAUGUUUUCAUUAAUCAGGAACGAAAGUUAGGGNAUCGAAGACGAUCAGAUACCGUCGUAGUCUUAACCAUAAACUAUGCCGACUAGGGAUCGGACGGUGUUAUUUUUUGACCCGUUCGGCACCUUACGAGAAAUCAAAGUGCUUGGGCUCCAGGGGGAGUAUGGUCGCAAGGCUGAAACUUAAAGAAAUUGACGGAAGGGCACCACCAGGGGUGGAGCCUGCGGCUUAAUUUGACUCAACACGGGGAAACUCACCAGGUCCAGACACAAUGAGGAUUGACAGAUUGAGAGCUCUUUCUUGAUUUUGUGGGUGGUGGUGCAUGGCCGUUCUUAGUUGGUGGAGUGAUUUGUCUGCUUAAUUGCGAUAACGAACGAGACCU